GCCUUCGUGGUGUAAUGGCCAGUGCACUCGGCGCGUAUUCGAGAGGCCCGAGGUUCGAGUCCUGGCGACGGCA
rnacentral:tRNA from 1 species